AGAGUUUGAUCCUGGCUCAGGAUGAACCCUGGCGGCGUGCUUAACACUUGCAAGUCAAGCGAACCCUUUGGAUUUAAUUCUUCGAAUGAAAUUCCUUAUGACUGACCGGCGAACGGGUGAGUAACCCGGGGGUAACCUGCCUCCUACAGGGGGAUAACAGUUAAAAAUGACUGCUAAUCCCGCAUAAAACCACAGUACUGCUUGGUCCACUGGUAAAAACUCCGGUGGUAUGAGAUGGACCCGCGUCUGAUUAGGCAGUUGGCGGGGUAACGGCCCACCAAACCGACGAUCAGUAGCCGACCUGAGAGGGUGACCGGCCACAUUGGGACUGAGACACGGCCCAAACUCCUACGGGAGGCAGCAGUGGGGAAUAUUGCACAAUGGGCGAAAGCCUGAUGCAGCGACGCCGCGUGAAGGAUGUAGUAUUUCGGUAUGUAAACUUCUAUCAGCAGGGAAGAAAAUGACGGUACCUGACUAAGAAGCCCCGGCUAACUACGUGCCAGCAGCCGCGGUAAUACGUAGGGGGCAAGCGUUAUCCGGAUUUACUGGGUGUAAAGGGAGCGUAGACGGCGGUGCAAGCCAGAUGUGAAAGCCCGGGGCUCAACCCCGGGACUGCAUUUGGAACUGUAUGGCUGGAGUGUCGGAGAGGCAAGUGGAAUUCCUAGUGUAGCGGUGAAAUGCGUAGAUAUUAGGAGGAACACCAGUGGCGAAGGCGGCUUGCUGGACGAUGACUGACGUUGAGGCUCGAAAGCGUGGGGAGCAAACCAGGAUUAGAUACCCUGGUAGUCCACGCCGUAAACGAUGACUUCUAGGUGUUGGGUAGCAAAGCUCUUCGGUGCCGCAGCACACGCAAUAAGUAGUUCCCCUGGGGAGGACGUUUGCAAGAAUGAAACUCAAAGGAAUUGACGGGGACCCGCACCAGCGGUGGAGCAUGUGGUUUAAUUUGAAGCAACGCGAAGGACCUUACCUGGGCUUGACAUUCCGCUGACGACGGAGUAAUGUCCGUUUCCCUUUGAGGCCUGGGAGACCGGUGGUGCAAGGUUGUUGUCAGCUUGUGUUGUGAGAUGUUGGGUUAAGUCCCGCCACGAGCGCCACCCCUAUCCUUCGUAGCCAGCCGCAAGGCCGGGCCCUUUAGGGAGACUGCCCGGGACAACCUGGAGGAAGGUGGGGAUGACGUCAAAUCAUCAUGCCCCUUAUGUCCAGGGCUACACACGUGCUACAAUGGCGUAAACAAAGGGAAGCGAAGCCGUGAGGUGGAGCGAAUCCCAAAAAUAACGUCUCAGUUCGGAUUGUAGUCUGCAACUCGACUACAUGAAGCUGGAAUCGCUAGUAAUCGCGAAUCAGAAUGUCGCGGUGAAUACGUUCCCGGGUCUUGCACACACCGCCC
rnacentral:rRNA from 1 species